CAGGACUCAGCUAAACACUCACUUCCUCAGGGAAGAAUCUCCUGACUCCUCUGACUAAGCCAUAUUCCCAUGUAGCUUUCCUUUGUAGCAUUUUUCUCAGCUGCCAUUUUAUUUAUUUUCUGGUUGCUUGAUUAAUGUCUACCUCUUCCACUAGUAUGAAAGCUCUGCAAAAGUAGAGAGCACAUUUGUUUUGUGCUCUAUUGUAUCCUCAGCACCAAGGCAGUGGUACCCAGUAGAUCAUCAACAGGACCAGCUACAGACAGGACUUGGCCCAGUGCAAAAUGAAAAAGCGGGUCCCCUUGUUCGAAAUUAUUAAAUAUUUCAAAGUGGUGACAGAAGAGCAUUAAACCAAUCCUGGAGACUUCCCCAGCACAGGACUAUGUGCAUCUACACAGGUUGAAAGAGUGAAUUAAAGUUGAGAUCUAAAGCUGUGUAGGAAUUCACCCAAAGAGAGAACACUUGAGGGCAGAAGAUAAGAUUUACGCAAAAGUCGUUUAGAAAAAAAAAGUGAUAGGAGUUCCCGUCAUGGCUCAGCAGAAACGAAUCCAACUAGGAACAAUGAGGUUUUGGGUUUGAUCCCUGGCCUUACUCGGUGGGUUAAGGAUCCAGCGUUGUCCCUGAACUGUGGUGUAGGUUGCAGAUGCGGCUUGGAUCUGGCAUUGCUGUGGCUGAGGCAUAGGCUGGCAGCUACAGCUCCGAUUAGACCCCUAGCCUGGGAACCUCCAUGUGUUAGGGGGAACCUCCAUGUGUCUUUUAAAUGACAAAAGACAAAAAGAAAAGAAAAAAAAAAAGUGAUAGUAGAAAUUUGAGAAACUGAUUGUUUUUAGUCAGAGUGAAGGGAUAAAUCAGAAGCAGAUGAGGGUAGAGGAAGAAGCAAGGUCCGGCUUGGGAUUUAGGACUUUAUUCUACUAGCAAAGGAAGGAUUUAAGGAGAGGCACAGAGUGAUCAAAGAAGCCAUUGGCCUUAGGUGGGGAAACCAUCUAUUUUCCUUCUUCCCACAUUUCUGUAUUUUUUAAAAUUUCCUUCCAAUCUCAUGCAGAGAAAAACUAAGAGCCUUACAGUGGACCUAAAAUGGUCUAUAAGGCCCACAAGGAACUUAACUCCCCACCUUCUGUCUCCUCACUCCAGCCAGUCUUUCAAAGGUCUAGUCACUCUCCCUCCUGAAGUACCUGAUCACCCUCUGAGCCUGGAGCACCCCCUAAAGCAUCCACCUGCCCCACCUCUUUGUCGGGUUCUUAGUCAAAUUUACCUUCUCAGCGAAGCCUUCCUCAGCAAUAACUACCUAUCCAUACACAUAAACUCCUCAUUUUUACCUUUAUCCUUGGGUCUCACCACCACCUAAGAUACCAUUUUAGAGGUUUUCCGUCCUGCCCUGCCCCUCCUCACCCAACCCAGAAAGUAAGCUUCUGGAGGGCAGGAAUUUUUGUCUGUUUUGUUGGCUGCUUUGUUCCCAGAGCCUAGAUCGCUGUCUGGGAUACAAAAAUAACUUAAUAAAUAACUGUAAAAUAAACAAAUGCAUUUUCUGUGUAAGCGGUAUGAAACACUCCAUAAAUGGCAAACAGUCCCAGUUGUUUAAGGUCACUCAGAUGUGAAAUGAAAGACCUCUCUCUCUCUCUCUGGUCUUUCUCCAACCCCCACACCCCCAAAUUAUUCCAUUCAAAGGAAGACAGUCUUCCCACUUCCCUUAGGUUCAUCACUGCCCUUACUCCUCAUUUACCACCAAUAGGUGUCAAUAUGGAGAAACAGCCCUCCACAGCCUUAGCAGAUGAUGCUGAUACUUCUCCAAGAGAGACCUUGGAAUUUUGUCACAGAACCUAAAUUAUCAACCCACACUCCCCUUCCUCAAAGAAAGUAGGGAUUUGUUGCUCUGGCUGCCAUUUUCCUCCAGACCCGAGGUAUCCUCCCUCUUCUGCCUUGGCUGGGUGUGGAAAGAGGAGGACCUAGUCACAGAAAGAGCUCCCAACUACAAAUCUCUAAGAGAAGAGAUUCAGCAGGGAGCAUCUCUCUCCUCCCUUCCCAAGCACCUGGCUGGCCCCUUUAUGCAAAUCAUCUACCUUCUCCCUAGAGAUCAGCUUUGUGUACCUGGGCAGCUGGAAUGAAGAAAAUGUUCUGGAGUGUCUCACUCCUACCUACAUUUGAGUAACUGAAAGGCCCCCUCUAGUAACUCAGUGUAGCUCUUUGUAGAACUAUUUUCCUUUCAAGAAAGAAAGGAAGGAAGGAAAUGGCUCCCACGAAAUACAGAUAAAAAUAUUCUCAUUUUAAUCUGGAAUUCACAAAUCUCAUCUUGAUUUGGGAGCUGGUAAUCCAGUCAGCUCAGAAAUCUCAUGUAGGAGUUCCUUGCCGCUCAGAGGGUUAAAAACCCAACUGGUAUCCAUGAGGGCGAGGGUUUGAACCCUGGGCUCAAGCUCAGUGGGUUAAGAAUCAGGUGUUGCCACACCUGUAGUGUAGGUCACAGAUACAGCUCAAAUAUGGUGUUGCUAUGCUUGUGGUGUAGGCCAGCAGCUGCAGCUCUGAUAUGACCCCUAGCCUGGGAACUCCCAUAUGUCACGGGUGUGGCUUUAAAAAAAAAAAAAAAAAAAAAAA
rnacentral:lncRNA from 1 species